UACAGAGGAGCCAAGCGUUGUCCGGAUUGACUGGGCGUAAAGCGCACGCAGGCGGAUACGCGCGUGGGGUGUGAAAUCUGGCCGCUUAACGGCCAGGCGCCAUCCCACACGGCGUGUCUGGAGCUGUGCAGAGGUCGGUGGAAUUGCCGGUGUAGUGGUGAAAUGCGUAGAGAUCGGCAGGAACACCCAGGGGGAAACCAGCCGACUGGGCACAUGCUGACGCUGAGGUGCGAGAGCGUGGGGAGCGAACCGG
rnacentral:rRNA from 1 species